rnacentral:lncRNA from 1 species
UUGCUGGAGAAGUUGUAGUUCCUGUAUUUAUGUUUGAAAACAUUUAAUUUUGAGACAUUAAUAUCCUUCCUCUUUGCAAUAUCGCAAUUCAUAUCUCCUUCCUGUUUUAUACUGCAUUCACCAAUUCAUAAUUUUAAUCAAUUAACUGCAUUUGCCAAUUCAGAAUUUUAAUAAAUUUAUUAUACAAAGCACUUUUUUGGUCCAUUAAUUUAUGCAUUAUAUUAUUUUAAACGAUGUUCCUCUCAUUACAUAGUUAGUUGUUAUUAGACACAAUAUGCCUUUAUUAUCUUUACCUACUGAUUCAAUUAUAAUUUUCUAAUAUAAGAUCUUAAAACCUCUUUCAAAAUACAGAAGUUUUAUAUAAUGCAAUAUUAUCCCCAUUGUACUUUAAGUUUAAUGUAUAUAAAAGCAAUGAACAAAACUAAAUAAAAGAUGCAGCUAUAUACAGUCACUUAGCUUCAAUACAUAGGUCUAUUUACUUUCCAUUAAUUGCUUGGAACUUAAAUUUCUUAAAGUACCCUUAGUUUAUUAAAUUAAAGAGUUUAAGUUCAUUUUGUUGGGCUUUUUCUCUCUUUUGUGAGACUCAAGUCUAAUUUUUAGGAUGUUUUUUUGUACUCAUUAUGUCAUGACCCUAAUAAGAUUUUUGGAGUCAUUUUAAGAGUGAGAGUAUAGCCAUCAAAGUGAGAGAGAAGAGGGAAAAUAAAAUUUUCGUUUUUAUGUAAAGUAGUAAAUUUCAAAUAAUAGUUUUUCAUUUGUUCACCGUUAGAUCGACGUGAAAUUUGGACUUCAGAUUCUUCUUAUUUUAUUCUUCAUUUUGGACGGUGAAGAUUUUGAUUGGAGGUCUGCAAAGAGAGAAAUAGGCUUCGAACAACUCUAUUUUUGGGUAUUUUUCAUCUUCUUGCUUCUCAUUUGUAAACUUUGGUGCUUUGAUGUUUUGGCUGGUUAUAUGCACGAUUUAUGCUUUGUUUGAAACUCUCUUGUACCUCAUUUAAUUAUAGUGGAGUUAUUUCAUUUAUUUGGAGGACUCGUGAUUUUUAACUCUCACAUUGCGGGGUUUUCACGUUAAAAUCUUGGUGUGUUCUUAUUAUUGCUUUACUUAUUAUAUUUGCUUGUUCAUAGUUGCUGCCAUAUUGUGUUGCAGUCAUGCUACACAUCCAUGUAUCCAUGUAUCCAAGUUGGCCCAAGCCCAAAUUCACUCACGCGCAUUAAUGAAGCGUGAUUACACGCGUCCGAAAUCCCUCGUUACUUCAUUUGCACUCAUUAUGAAAAAACGUUACUUCUUCCUCAACAUGAAACCACUACACGAAACUGCUCAUUCUCUUCGAAUCUCUCUCAAAAUCACUCAAACUUCACUCAUGUUCUCUACGAAAACCACUACUAGAGAAGAAUCGCGAGAAGAUUUCGCAAGGAACAAGCAAAAAUGAACAAAAAUAGAAACAGAGACUGACAAAUGUAUGAGAAAAACUACUGUUCAUUUGAAAUCUUGCAAUGUAGCGUUUCUCCUAGUUGUAUUUUAGGUUUACUGGAUUAAUUUGCUUCGUUUAGUACAUCGACGUAUUCUGAUUGCAUUUUUACAGUAUAUCUAGGGCUUUGAAUAAAAUUUGUUCUUAUUUUCAUUCAGUUCAGUGGAUAGUAUAACUAGGGCUUUGAACUUAGUUGUUACUCUACUCAGUUCUUCUUUUGCAUGGAGAAAUACUAUUCUUGAUGAUUGAAAGUUCAUAACGAUUUAUUCACCACAUGAAUGUUGUUCGGUUCGGUGGCCUUUGUGAUUUUCAUUCACUUGAUAUUUAGUGUGUUUAGGGUUUAGGGUUAUUCUAAUUGUAUUUUUACAGUAUAUCUAGGGUUUUGAAUGAAAUUUGUUCCUAUUUUCAUUUGGUUCAGUGGAUAGUGUAACCAGGGCUUUGAACUUGGUUGUUACUCUGGGGGCUUUAUUUUUAUUCACUUGAUAUUUACUGUGUUCAGAGAUCAAAUGAUUCGGGCAUCUGAAGCAAUAAGACUCCCAAAGUCAUCUGUUGCCCUCUCCAACCCUUUUUGUAAAUUCUCAUAUGCGGAUUUAGAUAGUAAAUAGGAUAUACUAUGAUUGAUUG